CUUGUCUAAAUUUACACAGACGGAGACUCCUAAGCAGUGAAAAGCAAAACAAAAGAAACAGCCUCUUGAAGUUUUGAAAUCAUGGCAGUAAUAUACAGCCGUGUAAACGAAGGUAUCAUGGAACAAUUAGAAAUAAAUGUGCGAAGAGAGUUAUCCAGUACCAACACAACAUACCUUAGAGAAAUUGGUGGCAUACUUGAGGUCUCCAUUCCAGUUAAAGACAUUGGAUUGCAUCAAGUAUUGACAUUUUCAAAUGCAACCACUGUGCACUUCAAAAGAUGUUCCACAAAAGCAAGUGCUGUAUUUCAGUUAUCUUUGGAGGACAGAUGUUCAAAC